rnacentral:lncRNA from 12 species
CGGGGCCGGGCGGGCAGAGGGCGGGACCGGAGGCGGGGCCAGGAUAGAGGGCGGGGCCGGGCGAGCAGAGGGCGGGGUCGGAGGCGGGGCCGGGGGCGGGGUCCGGCCCCGCUGCCCCGAGAGCAGUACGCUGUGCGCUUGGACGAGUAGGUAACGCGCAGAAGGUUAGGUGCCCGAUGCUGCGGGAAGCCCAUCCACGCAGCGAGGCGUCCGGGAGACGGAGAAAGGGAGUAAAUGGUUGGAGGUCACGCCCAGGAUCGCAGAGCUUGUUAGAUGACAAUUAGAUUUAAACCUGGGCAGGUUAGGGAUGCCUGGGUGGCUCAGUCAUUUGACGGACAGACUCGAUUUCAGCUCAGGUCACCAUCUCAGGGGCUGGGAGAUUGCGCUUCCGGCUCAGCGCCUGAGUUGGCUUGAGAUUCUCUCCCUCCCCCCUCCAUGCUAAAUAAAUAAAUAAAUAAAUAUCUUUAAAAAAAAUGAACCUGGGCAAUCCAAGUCUGAGCUUUACCUUUAUUAUUAUUAUUAUUUUAAAGUUUUAAUUUAUUUAUUCAUGAGAGACACAGAGAGAGGCAGAGACACAGGCAGAGGGAGAAGCAGGCUCCCUGCGGGGAACCUGAUGCGGGACUCGAUUCUGGGAUCUUGGUAUCAGGACCUGGGCCAAAGGCAGAUGCUCAACCACUGAGCCACCCAGGCACCGCUGGAUCUUUACCUUUAACCAGAAAUUUCCUGCCGAAUUUGUCAAGAGAUGCCUAUGAGAAUCUAAAUUGGAGAACAGGGACAGGCAGGCCUGUCAGCUCUUCCUGCAAAACCACACAACACUGGGACAACAAUUAGCC